rnacentral:lncRNA from 1 species
UGAUCCAGAUGCGUACUGGAAAAGUGUUACUAAUGCUGAGGCAAUUCCAGAGGUAAUUCAGAGCCUUAUAAACAAGGGUUAUUUAGUAUCUCCGUUCUCCAUCAAGAAAGGUAGCAAUGCUGAAGAGAAGCAUUUGACUAGAGCCCAUGAAUCAGAAAAUUUACGUUUUUUCCCUUACACUGGCCACGAAGAUAAACCAGUUCAUGAAUCAGAAAAUUUACGUUUUUUCCCCUACGCUGACCACAAUGAUAAACCAGCCCAUGAAUCAGAAAAUUUACCAGCCCAUGAAUCAGAAAAUUUACGUUUUUUCCCCUACGCUGACCACAAGGAUAAACCAACCCAUGAAUCAGAAAAUUUACCAGCCCAUGAAUCAGAAAAUUUACCAGUCCAUGAAUCAGGACCGGAAAAUUCACGCAUUUUUCUCUAUCACAAGGAUAAACCAGCCCAUGAUUCAGAAAAUUUACCAGCCCAUGAAUCAGGACCGGAAAAUUCACGCAUUUUUCUCUAUCACAAGGAUAAACCAGCCCAUGAAUCAGAAAAUUUACCAGUCCAUGAAUCAAGACCGGAAAAUUCACGCAUUUUUCUCUAUCACAAGGAUAAACCAGCCCAUGAUUCAGAAAAUUUACCAGCCCAUGAAUCAGGACCGGAAAAUUCACGCAUUUUUCUCUAUCACAAGGAUAAACCAGCCCAUGAAUCAGAAAAUUUACCAGCCCAUGAAUCAGGACAGGAAAAUUCACGCAUUUUUCUCUAUCACAAGGAUAAACCAGCCCAUGAAUCAGAAAAUUUACGUUGAGGAUUAGUCAAAAAAAUAACGUUCAACUAAAGACCCUGAAUCAGAAAGGCUUAUUGUCUAAGCAUAUAUAUAUUCCAUGUGUGAUGAAUCUAGUUUGAAUGCAGGCGAGUCAUUGGAGGCCAGAUGCUACAAAAUAAUAACGACUGGCGCGUGAUACAAUUAGGCCUAUGGUUGUGAUUGUAAUCUAAAUUAAAAGUGAUUUGUGUCUGUAAUGUGCGUCUUAAUAUGUAUUUUGUGAUUGUGAUGAUAAAAACUAUCAGUUUGUUGUUUCUUUAUCUAGAGGCUAGAUGAUUAACCAAUUUACAUGCGUAAUUAUUUAGAAAUAAUUAGUCUGUUAUUCUUUGGGACUAACAACAGUAAAAUAGACCUACAAAGGAGAAAGGGUGUUUAAACACAUGAACUUGGGUCAAUUAUCACGUACUAGUUAGUGAACUUGGGUGCUUCUUACAUAUUAUUACUUCCUUUUGGAAAUGAUAAUCCACAUGCAGUAAUACCAUAUGAAUGGGUAAAAUCUCUUGCACCCUAAUAUGUUAUAUGAACCUCUCAGUUUUUUAUGAAAUCCAGCCCUGCACGUUGAAAAAUAUUACAGUAAGUAAAUGUUUAUACGAGUAACUAGUUCAC